rnacentral:rRNA from 1 species
AUGAUCGUCACCCUUUGGGCGAUCUGGUCUGCACGGAGGAAGGUAAUACAUGAGGGAAUUUUCCAGACACCUUUGGCAACCCAUUGCUUCAUAUCGAAUUACCUGUCAGAGCUUCAGUUUUUGGAGAAGCCAGAGAAGGAGAAGAAGGCACCGGCUCCUAGAUCGGCAAAGUGGAUCCCUCCUCCAGAAAAUCACUUGAAAAUCAAUGUCGAUGCGGCGGUUGCGAGACAUGGUGGUUUUGGGACAGUAGCGGCCAUUUGUAGAGAUGGCAGCGGGGAGUACCAAGGAGCGUCAGUGAUCCGGUUCAACAACAUUGAUGAUCCGGAGACGUUGGAGACCUUGGCAAUUCGUGAAGCUUUGGCCCUCGCGGAUGACCUGCUCUUCCACAGUAUUUCAGUGGCGUCGGAUUGUAAGGUGGUCGUCGAAGCGAUCAAGAAAGGUACAUGUGCACAAUAUGGGGCCGUGAUACAUGAAAUCAUGGACCGCUCUAGAGUUUUUUCUUCUUGUUUGAUUAAUCAUGAAUUUAGGACCUCGAAUGUUGAGGCUCACAAACUUGCAAAGGAUGUGUUAUCCCUGGGUUUUGGCCGCCAUGUCUGGUAA